CUGCCGCCGCAUCGCCCGUAAGACCAACACCAUCGUCGCCUCCGUCAACUACCGCCUCUCCCCGGAGCACCGCUACCCCGCGCCUUACGAUGACGGCAUCGCCGCCCUCCGCUUCCUCGACGCCGGCGGGCUGGAGGCGGCCGACGCUGCGGCGUCGGCCAAGGCCGAUCUCUCCUCCUGCUUCCUCGCCGGCGACAGCGCCGGCGGCAACAUCGUGCACGACAUGCUCCUGAGG
rnacentral:misc_RNA from 1 species